UGGGGAAUCUUGCGCAAUGGGCGAAAGCCUGACGCAGCCAUGCCGCGUGAGUGAUGAAGGCCUUAGGGUUGUAAAACUCUUUCACCGGGGACGAUAAUGACGGUACCCGGAGAAGAAGCCCCGGCUAACUUCGUGCCAGCAGCCGCGGUAAUACGAAGGGGGCUAGCGUUGCUCGGAAUUACUGGGCGUAAAGGGCGCGUAGGCGGAUCAGCAAGUUGGGGGUGAAAGCCCGGGGCUCAACCUCGGAAUUGCCUUCAAAACUGCUGAUCUAGAGUACGGGAGAGGUGUGUGGAACUCCGAGUGUAGAGGUGAAAUUCGUAGAUAUUCGGAAGAACACCAGUGGCGAAGGCGACACACUGGCCCGUUACUGACGCUGAGGCGCGAAAGCGUGGGGAGCAAACAGGAUUAGAUACCCUGGUAGUCCACGCUAUAAACGAUGAUUGCUAGUUGUCGGCAGGCAUGCCUGUCGGUGACGCAGCUAACGCAUUAAGCAAUCCGCCCGGGGAGUACGGUCGCAAGAUUAAAAACUCAAAUGAAUUGACGGGGUCAUAGCUG
rnacentral:rRNA from 1 species